rnacentral:tRNA from 1 species
AACUCAGUUGGUUAGAGUAUCUGACUUUUAAUCAGAGAGUCGAGGGUUCGAGUCCCUCC